CGUAUCACAUGACUGUCCUUCACUCUCUGUUCUUUCCUGGUAAACUGAUCCAGCUGCUGGUGCUAGAGUAACAUUGUGAAUGAUUCAUCAGCUCAUUCUGACCAAAACAUGGAACAGGAAGUUGUGGCUGGUCUUUCCCAAGCUCUAGGAAAGUCAUCAGGAGCAGAGUUUUCUCCUGAGGACGUCAGCGUCUUAUACAGGAAAGUUUUUCAUAUUUCCUCUAGCUCAGGUGAAGCACGGGCAGCCAUAAAGAAGAUUACAGGAUGUGAUCGCUGGUCAUGUGUUGGUGAAAAAGUUCUUGAUGUUCUUGUAGAAAUGGAACGAGAGAGGGAAAAGAAAGAAAUGCUCUUCUGGGACCUUCAACUCCUCAAUGCUAGAAGCCUUCGUCAUCAUGUGAUGAAUUAUCUGCACAAAAAUGCAAAAAUAACUCCCAGCUUUGGCUCUGCGUCCUCACAACUGUUUUCAGGUGAAAUCAACAGUUUCCAGUUCUGUGAGAAAAGGACAAACACGAGGAAAAUCAAAAAAGCAGCAAAGCUACGUUGGGCCAGGUUGGCAUCUGAAGGUGUGCGAAGCUUGCUGUCUCGUUGCUGUCAAACAUCUUACGUUACAAACCCA
rnacentral:lncRNA from 1 species